rnacentral:rRNA from 1 species
UAGAGUNUCGGAGAGGAAAGUGGAAUUCCUAGUGUAGCGGUGAAAUGCGUAGAUAUUAGGAAGAACACCAGUGGCGAAGGCGACUUUCUGGACGAAAACUGACGCUGAGGCGCGAAAGCCAGGGGAGCGAACGGGAUUAGAUACCCCGGUAGUCCUGNCCGUAAACGAUGGGUACUAGGUGUAGGAGGUAUCGACCCCUUCUGUGCCGGAGUUAACGCAAUAAGUACCCCGCCUGGGGAGUACGACCGCAAGGUUGAAACUCAAAGGAAUUGACGGGGGCCCGCACAAGCGGUGGAGUAUGUGGUUUAAUUCGACGCAACGCGAAGAACCUUACCAGGUCUUGACAUUGAUGGACAGAACCAGAGAUGGUUCCUCUUCUUCGGAAGCCAGAAAACAGGUGGUGCACGGUUGUCGUCAGCUCGUGUCGUGAGAUGUUGGGUUAAGUCCCGCAACGAGCGCAACCCCUAUCUUAUGUUGCCAGCACUUCGGGUGGGAACUCAUGAGAGACUGCCGCAGACAAUGCGGAGGAAGGCGGGGAUGACGUCAAAUCAUCAUGCCCCUUAUGACCUGGGCUACACACGUACUACAAUGGGAGUUAAUAGACGGAAGCAAAACCGCGAGGUGGAGCAAACCCGAGAAACACUCUCUCAGUUCGGAUCGUAGGCUGCAACUCGCCUACGUGAAGUCGGAAUCGCUAGUAAUCGCAGGUCAGCAUACUGCGGUGAAUACGUUCCCGGGCCUUGUACACACCGCCCGUCACACCACGAAAGUCGGAAGUGCCCAAAGCCGG